GAAAGCCGCAGGAGCAGGAAUGGACAACGGGGACGCUCUCCAUUCUUCUUCCCCUCCUCCUCCACACGUCCAAAAGCCUCGUCCUUCCCACUUCCUACCCAUCAUAUCUCCAUCCGCGGUUCCGCCCAGCUGCUCCACAUCUCAAUUCUCACCACACACACGCACACACACUAUCGUCCAGCAAGCUCGCUGUUGCUUGCCACCCACCGCCUCAGCUCGAUCGCAACGCGCUUGGCAUGGCGUCCGAGGUGUGGCUAUCGCCGGCGUCUCGCCUCCCAUCCCUCUCCAACGCACCACCUCGCUUACGCUCCAAGCCUGCCACCACAACCGCCUCUUUGCUCUCUCCCUGUCCCCGCCCUGCCCGCGCCCUGCCUGUGCUGCGUGUCCGUCGCCGCCGCCGACUUCGCGCCACCGAGCAGCAAGGCCAGGUUCAGGAGCAAGAUGACGAGGUGGUGGACAGGAACAUCCUCCCCUACUGCAGCAUCGACAGGAAGCAGAAGAAGACGCUGGGAGAGAUGGAGCAGGAGUUCCUGCAAGCCCUCCAGGCCUUCUACUAUGACCAGAAGGCCAUCAUGUCCAACGAGGAGUUCGACAACCUCAAGGAGGAGCUCAUGUGGGAGGGGAGCAGCGUCGUCAUGCUAAACGAAGAUGAGCAAAAGCUUUUGGAAGCUUCCUUGGCCUAUACCUCCGGCAACCCAAUCAUGUCUGAUGCUGAGUUCGACGAACUGAAACUUAGAUUAAAGACAGACGGCAGUGUCAUUGUGAAGGAGGGUCCCAGGUGCAGCCUAAGGACUCAUAAGGUGUACAGUGACUUGAAUGUUGACUACCUAAAGAUGUUCCUCCUAAAUGUUCCAGCCACCACCGUAGCUCUGGGACUGUUCUUUUUCAUUGAUGAAUUGACUGGUUUUGAGAUCAAUGUGUUCCAGCUGCCAGAGCCUUUCGGAUUCAUUUUCACAUGGUUUGCUGCUUUGCCCCUAAUAUUGUUCUUAGCGCAGUCAUUGACUAAGGCUAUAGUCCAGGAUUUUUUAAUCCUUAAGGGGCCAUGUCCUAAUUGUGGUACUGAAAACCUUUCCUUCUUUGGGACUAUACUGUCAGUCUCCAGUGGCGGUACAACAAACAAAGUGAAAUGUGCAAAUUGCAGUACCGAGCUGGAAUAUGACUCAAAAUCUCGGGUGAUCACACUUCCAGAAGCAUCAAAUGCAUAAACAUAGGUGACUCUACAUUUACGCCAGUAACUAUAAAUGGAUGCUCUUUGGUCUAUAUUCCAAAUGUGGGAGACAUCACACCAGCUUUGAAGUAUUGCCCGUCUCCAUUGUGAACACUCUGCAGCAUAUGUAGCAGAUAAAUGAGUGAAACUAUUUGUACUGCCUGCUCUGCAAAUUAGUAUGAACACCCCUCAAAAAGAUUUGGCCCACACUCUGGUCUCUCUGUUUGCAGCUGGGAACAGGGAGCUCCAGAGCUUGUGAAUUCUAUAGAAUAAAGGUGGUUGUCCGCACAGUAUAGCAAACUGCGAAGCCUGCAACUACUAGAGUUUGGUCUGUAGCAGGCUCAGUUGGGAAUGUGUAGCAGAGCAUGAUCCAUGGUGUGGAUGAAUUGCAGAGUACUGUGCUGUGUGUGUAGGAAGGAAAAGCUGCCGCCUGCCGAUUGUGCAGUCAGUCUAGUACGUUGUUAUGUUUGCAAGGCCCAAGUCUACUGAACGGCCACGGCCAGGCUGACUGAUGACCUGAAGCCCGGCCCACGGCCCACGGCCCACAGCCCAACUGGUUGCACAUACUGCGAGAGAAUUUCUCUCAACCAAGCGUCUGCAUCUUCCUUCUCUAGCUUGUGUCAUGGAGUAUAUGCAUAUGCAUCCCUGACCUCUUUCAUGCAUGCAUGUUUAAAUGACUUUGUUCCUCAAGCAACCUGCAAGCAGAAUUAAUACCAUUCCAAAUCGAUCGAUGAGCAGAAUCAGAAUUAGCGAGCAUUUUGCAUUGCUCCACCAAACAAAAAAAUUCGGCCACCUCAAUGCACUAGUAGGAAACGGAGUUAGUCCUGAUUGAGAACCCGAACUACGGAUUCAGGACUAAAGAGCACUUUAGAGGCUUUUUUUAUUUUUUGCACAAGUUUCUCUCCACCCUUGUGAUUCCUGGGACUCAAACUCAUGAGCAUUGUCUUGUAUAUGGGAUUAGAUGAUGCUCUGGACCGAUCUAUUAGAUCUACUGGACUUUCAAUUUAUUUUGGUCUAAAGUUAAGUAAUAUAAUUAUAUGCGUA